rnacentral:misc_RNA from 1 species
GCGUAGCAGCGCCGUCUGAAUUGUGUCAGCAGUACGAGAAAGCUUUGUUAAACGUUAACAGCACUAACUGUGGCAUAAUCAUUUGCAUACAGAAGUCGUCAUGCUCUUCUCUCUUUGCUCUGUCCGUUCAUUCAUACGAUUUAACAGCGACAAUUACAUCAAAAUAGAUUUACAAACCAGCAUUUGUAGACUAAAGGGAGCACUAAAGGCCAAAGUAGCACAACGAACCCACACAUGUUACAGGAACUCAAGGAUAAUAUCCAUGAGUCAGUUCAUUCACUUUCUUAAAGAGAAGUACAUUGUGUGACAAAUAAUUUCUUCAGUAGAUAUGAGGAAUGUGUGGAAAAAAAAUGGCAUGUACUUCCAGCAUCUCAAUGCAUGACAUAGGUAGAAGAUAGGGAUGAAGUGCCAACCUUUUCUACACUGGAAGUGCAAUCUGUAGCAAAUUAUGUGGAGAGUUUGUGUAGCAACAGUAGUAAUACAGGGUGUCCAACAAAGGACUCUCUAACAUUAGAAUCAAAUACAACAUUUGAAGACAGUGUCCCGAAAAAAACGGUUAUUCUGAGACACAGAUACAUAAUUCAUUCAGUGCCAGGCGAGUUCAAUCUAUGGAGCAGAAUGAGGAUACGAAGACACCCACCACUCUGGCCUUUUUUGGUGCCAUGUCAUUAAGAACCGGAAGAGUCCUCGGAAGAUAUGAAAUUAAGUGUUUUUCAACCAUCUGCAAAACUGAAAAACCUGUUGGGUUCAGUUAAGGAUGAUCUUGGCCUGAGGAAAUGUGGUGUGUACAAGAUUCCUUGUCAAUGUGGGGCAGCAUAUAUAGGCCAGACAUGCCACACGAUACAAAAACACU